AGAGUUUGAUCAUGGCUCAGAUUGAACGCUGGCGGCAGGCCUAACACAUGCAAGUCGAGCGGUAACAGGGAGUAGCUUGCUACUCCGCUGACGAGCGGCGGACGGGUGAGUAAUGUCUGGGGAUCUGCCUGAUGGAGGGGGAUAACUACUGGAAACGGUAGCUAAUACCGCAUAACGUCGCAAGACCAAAGAGGGGGACCUUCGGGCCUCUUGCCAUCGGAUGAACCCAGAUGGGAUUAGCUAGUAGGUGGGGUAAUGGCUCACCUAGGCGACGAUCCCUAGCUGGUCUGAGAGGAUGACCAGCCACACUGGAACUGAGACACGGUCCAGACUCCUACGGGAGGCAGCAGUGGGGAAUAUUGCACAAUGGGCGCAAGCCUGAUGCAGCCAUGCCGCGUGUGUGAAGAAGGCCUUCGGGUUGUAAAGCACUUUCAGCGAGGAGGAAGGCAUUGAGGUUAAUAACCUCAGUGAUUGACGUUACUCGCAGAAGAAGCACCGGCUAACUCCGUGCCAGCAGCCGCGGUAAUACGGAGGGUGCAAGCGUUAAUCGGAAUUACUGGGCGUAAAGCGCACGCAGGCGGUUUGUUAAGUCGGAUGUGAAAUCCCCGGGCUCAACCUGGGAACUGCAUUCGAAACUGGCAAGCUUGAGUCUUGUAGAGGGGGGUAGAAUUCCAGGUGUAGCGGUGAAAUGCGUAGAGAUCUGGAGGAAUACCGGUGGCGAAGGCGGCCCCCUGGACAAAGACUGACGCUCAGGUGCGAAAGCGUGGGGAGCAAACA
rnacentral:rRNA from 1 species